rnacentral:rRNA from 1 species
UUAACGGGGGGGAAAAGAAACACAACGGGGGCGCUUUAAAACGGUGUGUGAAGCCCAAACCCUAAAAGGAAAUUCUCCCACCUUCGGUGCCCGAGUUGUAAUUAGGAGAGGGCAACUGGGGGGCCGUUCCCCGUCUAUGUUCCUUGGAACAGGACGUCAUGGGGGUUCCGAAUCCCCUGUGGGGAGGAGGGGCGGUUUUUUGUAAAGUGCUUUAAAAGCCUCGUGCUUUUUGGGAAUGCAGCUCUAAGUGGGUUGUAAUUUCCAUUUAAAGCUAAAUAUUGGCGAGAGACCGAUAGCGAACAAGUACAGUGAUGGAAAGAUGAAAAGAACUUUGAAAAGAGAGUGAAAAAGUACGUGAAAUUGUUGAAAGGGAAGGGCAUUUGAUCAGACAUGGUGUUUUGUGCCCUCUGCUCCUUGUGGGUAGGGGAAUCUCGCAUUUCACUGGGCCAGCAUCAGUUUUGGUGGCAGGAUAAAUCCAUAGGAAUGUAGCUUGCCUCGGUAAGUAUUAUAGCCUGUGGGAAUACUGCCAGCUGGGACUGAGGACUGCGACGUAAGUCAAGGAUGCUGCUAA